rnacentral:rRNA from 1 species
CUUGAAUAACUAUAAGAGGUCCAGCCUGCCCAGUGACUUUGUUCAACGGCCGCGGUAUCCUAACCGUGCGAAGGUAGCGUAAUCACUUGUCUUUUAAAUGGGGACUUGUAUGAAUGGCAUCACGAGGGUUAUACUGUCUCCUUUUUCUAAUCAGUGAAACUAAUCUUCCCGUGAAGAAGCGGGAAUAAACAUAUAAGACGAGAAGACCCUAUGGAGCUUUAAACUUAAUAACAAAUACUAACCUUUCAUCAACCUUCAGAAUAUUAACCUUAAUUUUAGUAUUAUGAUUAUUAGUUUUAGGUUGGGGUGACCGCGGAGUAAAAAUUAACCUCCACAUUGAACGGGACCUGUCCCUGAGCCAAGAACUACAGCUCGAAGCACCAACAAAUUGACAUUAAUUGACCCAAUAUUUUGAUCAACGAAC